GGAAGGGUGAUGCAUCUGUGUGAUUGGUAACUCUCCUCCCUGCUGUUAGGUGGGCAUGAGUUGAGGUCCUUAAAGCCCUUUCUGAACUCAGGUCUCCAAAGGCAGUGGCAGCACAGACUACUCUUGUGGAUUUGCUCUGCUGAAGCAUUGCUACAGCUCUGCUCCGAGUGUUGGUGGUGACCGUGGAGUCACCUCCUCAGGUAGGAGCUGAGCGGUCUCGUUUCUGCUCAUUAGUUCUGAAAGGUUUUUCCAUCCAUAAUAAGAAAGUCAUUAGUGUGAAACUUCCACUGCCAGGUACGAUUGAUUCGGAGAUUAUAACCACUAUAAAAGGGGAUAUGCGUUGCAUAUACAAUGUGUUAAAGUCCUGGCAUGUUGCUCUGGUUGUAUGUCAUUUGUGGAGCUCACCAGAGAACGGCUCAGGCAGAUGUGUGGCUGCUCAGAGCCUGUUUUCACAGGGCAAAGGUAAAUUCGCAUCAAUAGCUGGUACAUCCUCUGUGGAAGGGCUCUAAUCCUAUCCUAAGAGAUGGACUCAAUGAUUUAACAAGUCCUCAUGCUCUCGUUGCUGUGGUGUUUUACAAAUAGGGUGCACAACCUUGAGGCCCUCCAUGCUUGCUGUUAAGUUUGGGAUCCCCUCUGCAAUGAGCUACUAAAACAUGUCCUGGUGUGUUCUAUUUCCCCUCCAUGGCUGAUGAGCCAGUGAAUCAGCCGUCCAUCCACCCAUUCAUCCAGCCAGCCACUUCUUGUAUGUAAAAGUUAUUUUAAACACACAUUUGCAGCAUUCAUCAUAUCACUCAUCAUACAAAGUGCUUUUGACAAUGCAUUAGUAGAGUUGUGCCAGGCGUGCGUCGUUCCUCUGGCCGGGAGAGCGGAUGGGGAAGUUGGGUGAGAAGAACAAGGGGUUCAGCUCAGCUCAGCACAUCCAGUCUCAGUUUUGAUUAUGUUGCCUGGGCUGUGAUGAUAUGGGGCCAACAGAACCAUUCUCUGCAAUGGAGAGAGGUGAGCAAGCAUGGAGAGGUGGGUGACCAGCAACUUGAUAUGAAUAUAAUCAUUGAAGAGGAUCAUUGGACUGGAUUGUCCAAAGAAAGAUGCAAUGGGUAGCAGAGGGAGGAAGAAGCAGACAAAUACACCACGAGCCAUUCAAAAAGUGGCUAAAAGAGGAGCAGAACCACAAAAGGUUCAAUUCACAAAGCCAGGAGAGGGCUGCAGGAAUUCCAGGUCGGUGGCCAUUCUGGCUUUAUAGACGCAAUGAAAUGUUAUGGCUGCAGCUUUCCUGAAUUUACUUUGCUCCCAACUGCACAGCCUAAAAAUGAAUUUGAAAAUUACAAAUCCCAUAAAACAUGGAUUACCUGGCUACGCCAAACCCAGAAUAAUUGAAACUAAGUUAGCAGGAUUACUCCAGAGGUGUUUGGUGCAGU